rnacentral:rRNA from 1 species
UAUAUACUGUCUCAUAUAUAUAUUAUGAAUUUAAAAUUUUAAUAAAAAUGUUAAAAUUUAUUUAUGGGACGAUAAGACCCUAUAGAAUUUUAUAUUAAUUUAUUUAUUUAAUUAAUAUAUAAUUUAAAUUAAUAUUUAAUUGGGAGGAUUAUUAAAUUUAAAUAACUUUAAUUUAUAAAAACUUAAAUUAAAGAAAAUAUUAUGAUCUUGAAUUUUAAAUUACUAGAWUAAAUUACCUUAGGGAUAACAGCGUAAUAUUUUUUUAUAGAUCUUAUAGAAAAAAAUGAUUGCGACCUCGAUGUUGAAUUAAGA